rnacentral:rRNA from 1 species
CCUACGGGCGGCAGCAGUCGAGAAUCAUUCACAAUGGGGGAAACCCUGAUGGUGCGACGCCGCGUGGGGGAAUGAAGGUCUUCGGAUUGUAAACCCCUGUCAUGUGGGAGCAAAUUAAAAAGAUAGUACCACAAGAGGAAGAGACGGCUAACUCCGUGCCAGCAGCCGCGGUAAUACAGAGGUCUCAAGCGUUGUUCGGAAGCACUGGGCGUAAAGCGUGCGUAGGCUGUUUCGUAAGUCGUGUGUGAAAGGCGCGGGCUCAACCCGCGGACGGCACAUGAUACUGCGAGACUAGAGUAAUGGAGGGGGAACCGGAAUUCUCGGUGUAGCAGUGAAAUGCGUAGAUAUCGAGAGGAACACUCGUGGCGAAGGCGGGUUACUGGACAGUAACUGACGCUGAGGCACGAAGGCCAGGGGAGCGAAAGGGAUUAGAUACCCGAGUAGUC